rnacentral:rRNA from 1 species
GACGAACCGUGCGAACGUUGUUCGGAAUCACUGGGCUUAAAGGGCGCGUAGGCGGACUGCCAAGUCCGGGGUGAAAUCUUUCGGCUCAACCGGAAAAGUGCCUCGGAUACUGGCGGCCUAGAGGGAGGUAGGGGUAUGUGGAACUUCCGGUGGAGCGGUGAAAUGCGUUGAUAUCGGAAGGAACGCCGGUGGCGAAAGCGACGUACUGGACCUCUUCUGACGCUGAGGCGCGAAAGCUAGGGGAGCGAACGGG